rnacentral:sRNA from 1 species
AUCAAAAUUUAGUUCAAGUAGCCUAUUAUUCUAUUUUCUUUCCUUAUGUCAUCUGAUAAAAUGGUGAGCUGUGAGCUUUAAGUAAACAUCUCCCUCAAGUUCCUCUGGUCCAUAAUAUUCCUUGCAGAUGUUGAACGAUGGGCUGGAUUGUUUUGGAACCUUGUUCCAGCAGAGCCCAUGUGUUCAUGAAGAAAACAUUUGCUUACAGCUUAUUUCUACCAUUGCCUCUAUUUCAGUGUUUUGUUGUUGUUGUUGUUGAUUUGUUUUUUUUUUUUUUUUUUUUGAGAAGGAGCGGGGGUUGCAGUGAGCUGAGAUCCUGCAACUGCACUCCCGCUGGGCAAGAGUGAGACUCCAUCUCUAAAAUAAAAUAAUAUAAAAAACUGCUUCUCAUAAAAGCUUUGGUAUAGUCUUACGAGGUCACAUCAUUGUUUUGCAACUAUGAUAUGUGUUCAAAAUGUUCUUCUAUGACCCCACAUUUCAUUAGAUAUAUUUUUAAACCAUUUUAAAAUUGUUUUUCUCUGAAAUUUAUUGUGUUCAGUUUACAUUGAAGACUGCAUGCUCUCUAGUCUGCAUCAUACAUUGGAAACAUUUUCUGGUACCUGAUAAAUGAUUUUAGGUUGUUUCAAUGUGUACUUGAUAAAGAUAUCAAGUAACUUUUUCUUUAUGCUAACAUCAAAAUUUAUUUGAAGUAGC